UUGAACGCUGGCGGCAGGCCUAACACAUGCAAGUCGAGCGGAUGAAGGGAGCUUGCUCCUGGAUUCAGCGGCGGACGGGUGAGUAAUGCCUAGGAAUCUGCCUGGUAGUGGGGGAUAACGUCCGGAAACGGGCGCUAAUACCGCAUACGUCCUGAGGGAGAAAGUGGGGGAUCUUCGGACCUCACGCUAUCAGAUGAGCCUAGGUCGGAUUAGCUAGUUGGUGGGGUAAAGGCCUACCAAGGCGACGAUCCGUAACUGGUCUGAGAGGAUGAUCAGUCACACUGGAACUGAGACACGGUCCAGACUCCUACGGGAGGCAGCAGUGGGGAAUAUUGGACAAUGGGCGAAAGCCUGAUCCAGCCAUGCCGCGUGUGUGAAGAAGGUCUUCGGAUUGUAAAGCACUUUAAGUUGGGAGGAAGGGCAGUAAGUUAAUACCUGCUGUUUCGACGUUACCAACAGAAUAAGCACCGGCUAACUUCGUG
rnacentral:rRNA from 1 species